rnacentral:rRNA from 1 species
GUAGUUAGCCGGGGCUUCCUCCUUGGCUACCGUCAUUGUGUUCGUCACCAAGGACAGAGGUUUACAAUCCGAGAACCUUCAUCCCUCACGCGGCGUUGCUGGGUCAGGCUUUCGCCCAUUGCCCAAUAUUCCCCACUGCUGCCUCCCGUAGGAGUCUGGACCGUCUCUCAGUUCCAGUGUGGCCGUUCGCCCUCUCAGGCCGGCUACCCAUCGAUGCCUUGGUGGGCCGUUACCUCACCAACUAGCUAAUGGGACGCGAACUCACCCCAAACCGGAUCGCUCCUUUUACCUCAAAGCCAUGCGGCCUCGUGGUCUUAUGCGGUAUUAGCACCUGUUUCCAAGUGUUAUCCCCCUGUCUGGGACAGAUUGUUCACGCGUUACUCACCCGUCCGCCGCUGACCCCGAAGGGCCCGCUCGACUUGCAUGUGUUAAGCCUGCCGCCAGCGUUCGCUCUGAGCCAGGAUCAAACUCUGA